rnacentral:rRNA from 1 species
UACGUAGGGUGCGAGCGUUGUCCGGAAUUACUGGGCGUAAAGAGCUCGUAGGUGGUUUGUCGCGUUGUUCGUGAAAACUCACAACUCAAUUGUGGGCGUGCGGGCGAUACGGGCAGACUGGAGUACUGCAGGGGAGACUGGAAUUCCUGGUGUAGCGGUGGAAUGCGCAGAUAUCAGGAGGAACACCGGUGGCGAAGGCGGCAUCCUGGACCGGUAUUGACGCUGAGGCGCGAAAGCUAGGGUAGCAAACGGG